rnacentral:rRNA from 1 species
UACGGGGGGAGCAAGCGUUGUUCGGAUUUACUGGGCGUAAAGGGCGCGUAGGCGGCCACCGCAAGUCGACUGUGAAAUCUCCGGGCUUAACUCGGAAAGGUCAGCCGACACUGCGGGGCUAGAGUGCAGAAGGGGCAACUGGAAUUCUCGGUGUAGCGGUGAAAUGCGUAGAUAUCGAGAGGAACACCUGCGGCGAAGGCGGGUUGCUGGGCUGACACUGACGCUGAGGCGCGAAAGCGUGGGGAGCGAACCGG